rnacentral:rRNA from 1 species
AAUAGAUACCCAGGUAGUCCACGCCGUAAACGAUGAGUGCUAAGUGUUAGAGGGUUUCCACCCUUUAGUGCUGCAGCUAACGCAUUAAGCACUCCGCCUGGGGAGUACGGCCGCAAGGCUGAAACUCAAAGGAAUUGACGGGGGCCCGCACAAGCGGUGGAGCAUGUGGUUUAAUUCGAAGCAACGCGAAGAACCUUACCAGGUCUUGACAUCCUCUGACCUCCCUGGAGACAGGGCCUUCCCUUUCGGGGGACAGAGUGACAGGUGGUGCAUGGUUGUCGUCAGCUCGUGUCGUGAGAUGUUGGGUUAAGCCCCGCAACGAGCGCAACCCUUGACCUUAGUUGCCAGCAUUGAGUUGGGCACUCUAAGGUGACUGCCGGUGACAAACCGGAGGAAGGUGGGGAUGACGUCAAAUCAUCAUGCCCCUUAUGACCUGGGCUACACACGUGCUACAAUGGAUGGUACAAAGGGCUGCGAGACCGCGAGGUUAAGCCAAUCCCAGAAAACCAUUCCCAGUUCGGAUUGCAGGCUG